CUGUGUAAUUAAAAAAAUCAAUUUUUGAUGAUGUUUCUUUCAAUUAUAUUAGAUUAAGGGACAAAAAAGUAAAAGAACAAACAAAUCACUAAGCACAUAACAAAUUUAAGGGGGGAAAAAUCAAAACAAAUAACAGUCAUCAGGUACGACUGGAACAAAAAACCACCACCACCACCACCACCACCACCAUCUAAACCAAAAUCACGAUCCAAGCCCACACCCACACCCACAAAGUAAUCUUCAACCACCACUACCCCACCAUCGAGCGAAGCUUUUUUUUCACCAUCAUCGUGAAUCACUUCAACUCGUCAGCAAAUAACCAUCACCAUCAAUACUCCCACAACCUCCGGCCAUAACCCCUAAUUAAAAAUACAAUCAAUUAUUCUCGUGAAUUCAUAAUUGCUCUAAUAGAGAAUCAAACCCAAAAAUUAGGGUUUGUAUAUGUACACACAUACACAGAUCUAUAGGGGAGAAAAAGAGCUUAGUUAUGAAGAUGAUUAUAGGUUUCAAAGAUCAUAGAGGUUUUUUGGUUCCAGUGGUUGCAAUCGUCAUUGCGGCAGCACGACUCUCUCUUCUCUUUCCACGACGACGACGUCGUCUUUAGAAAUCGCGUUGAGGGAGGAGGGCCUUCACUCAUCGUCUGGACCAGAUCUCUAGGCGGUCGUUCUCCAUCGUUUCCUGCUAUGGUAAAGGCGCAGAGUGAAUGAAAAGAUCUAGGGUUUGAAACGGAAGAUUGAACAAAAUCCAAUUAUAGAAGAACAAAUUUAGAUAAGAGUGGAUUACUGAAAAACCGGAAUUGGACAUAAAAGAAUCAAAAUUCAAAAAUGAAUACAGAUUUGGAGAAAAAGGAAAAAAAUUUGAAAUAAAAAAUUGAUCGGGGGAAGAUCAGAGAAAGGGACAACGGUGUCAUCUGAUUUGAAGCUGAGAUUCAGAUCUAAGUUGAGAUGGAAGCUUCAGAUUUGGUUUUAGUGGUGGUGAAGGUUUGUUUGGAUUUAAAUGGAGGUGAGGGUGAGAUCAUUGUGUUGAUGUACUGUAAUCGGUAAUUGAAAGCUUUUGCUUUUAAUUUGAUAUUAGUCUUUUAUUAUAAAUUAGUUUGAAUGUAUUAAUGAAAGAGUUGUGAACAUUUUAUCCUUUAAUAUAUC
rnacentral:lncRNA from 1 species